CAAUAGAAGAAACCUGGAAUACUUUUAUAAGAAACCCUUUUGAUUUUUUUGACCUGUGGACCGUUUCGGACUAAAGGAAUAUAAACAACGGAGGAAUGGACAGAGAAUCGGAGUUCUACACGUCUAAACGGAAAAGAUGUUUGUAGCUGCUUGGUUACUUGGUCCACUCUGACAAACAGAGGAAAGGAUCCCACCUGAUGUCAGGAAGCAGACAGCAGACACUCCAUCUGUUUGAUAAACUUCCCAGAGGUCAGUGGCUGGUCGUGUGCUGGGAGCUGGCUUGUUUUUUAAUCACUACCACGCUCCUGUCAGCGUCGGCCUGUGUCUGUGCUGAACACUUUGCUAGCUGUGUCUGUGCUGAACACCUUGCCAGGGGGAUACAGCUGAAGAAGGCAGGAACCCUGGUUUCCCUGAAUAGACACUGUUGGCACAGUUAACCCUUUCCUCCGCUGUGACGAGAUCAAAGAAAACAAAACUCUUCCUUCCCAGAAAUUCCUGUAUCAGCAUUCUGUGUGUAUGACUCAGCUGUCAGGACUUUCAGCGAGGCACCAGAGGUAAAUGUUAAGCACGUAUUCAGCUACAAUGAAGGUUAAUGGACAGAUCAGCUGAGCAUAUUCAACACAUACAUUACAGCUGUUUACAUUAAACAGGCUGGUGUGACCACACCUUCUGCAUGGCCGGAGAAAUUAUGCUGCAGUGACAAUAUUACUGCAGGACAAAAUUGGCUUUUGUCCUAAAAUCAAUGGCAGGAGUUGGAUUACCAUGGAAACGUUGCUUCCAGUAACAUUCCCCUCCGUAACCAUAGAGGCCGUUAGUGAGACAAUAUUGUGAAGGUUCACCUUUGUUGCAUAUAUAAAAACUGGAGGUCCCUGAAGGUGUAAGCAUGACCGCCUGGUGUGUUAGACAAUAUUAUUGAAAGCCUAGUGAAUAUGUUCAUGAAAGAACUGGAAUAUUAAUAUUUUUAUAUCAACAAGAGGUUAAUGUUAAAGGUUCAUCACAGUGAUGAAUCCUCAGAGAUUUAUCACCCACAUCAGCAGUUCUCCUCCCCCUUCAUCUUUCAGUGUUUAUUCACUUAAAAAGAAAUCAUCAAUUGUUCAUGAUUAACUAAUGUGUAAAAAGCGAUACUGAUUCUAUAGAUUUACAACCGAUGUGUUUCAUAAUACAUCAACUAACUACUUUUUAAUCAUUUACUAACUGCUUACUACUAUUGAAUGUUAUUAAACUUAUGGUUAUUGAUCUCAAGUAUUUAGAUGCCGUUAUCCAUGGCCUGAAAACUGUCUGGGUUUAUUUUGCACAGUGGCGUCACACGUGUAGCUAACUGCUAGCAGACAAAGCUGCUGCUGCUGAAACAAUGACUCUAGCAUUACAAAUAUACAAAAUAAGUGUUUUAAGUAUUAAUAAGUCUAUUAUUAUUAUUAUUAUCAUCAUUAUUAUUAAUUAUUGACAGUACAAGCACAAAUGCAACCAAUAUGAAGGAAUGAAUCCAUUAUUCGUAGCAUAUCAAAGCACAACUAGUAGCUAACUGCUAACAUUUCAGUGUUCCCCCAUAACAGACCAGAGAAGCCGCAGAGCACAAAUGUUAGUGUGAUGAAGUUUCAUUUCCUUCAUAAAGAAUGCACAAUAAUAUUUUCUAUCUUUUGCUUCUCGCUCUCAUUUAGCACAGCUGCUAAUUGCCGUCUUUCUGUCUGACUGAGCAAUACUAAGCUAUACUGUUGAACUGCCUCUGAUACAGUACACUCCAGCAGUGAUCUGUGAAAUGUGGCAAAUCACAAUGCGCUCAAAUUUGCAAGUGAAAAGCUUAUGAUGGUUAAAGGUCUCUCAGCUGUACGAACAUAACGAGGCAGUUCUGUUUGAACCUCUGCUCAUCAUCAGCGCUAUUCCUUUCCCCCAGUACUGCCCCAGGUACUGGCUGUUAUCCACUAUAGUACAUGUUAAAAGGCAUAAGUCUCUUUACGUGGAAGAAAAAUCAAUGCAAAUCUUGUUGAUUCUAAAUUCAUGAAUAAAAAGCUUCACCUUGUCA